GGGCACAUGGUGUAGUUGGUUAUCACAUCCGCUUAGCAUUACAAUGCUUGCGGGGGGUGCUGGGUUCAAUUCCCAGUGUGUCCA